CCUGCACCUGCCGGCGACCGGCGCACGGGUGAGUAACACGUAUGGAACCUGCCCGCCACAGGGGGAUAACCCGGGGAAACCCGGCCUAAUACCCCAUGCCGCCCGGACCGGGCAUCCGGUCCGGGCGAAAGGAGGAAUCCGGUGGCGGCUGGGCAUGCGGCGCAUUAGCUAGUUGGCGGGGCGACGGCCCACCAAGGCGACGAUGUCUAGGGGUUCUGAGAGGAAGGUCCCCCACACUGGUACUGAGACACGGACCAGACUCCUACGGGAGGCAGCAG
rnacentral:rRNA from 1 species